UACAGAGGGUGCAAGCGUUAAUCGGAAUUACUGGGCGUAAAGCGUGCGUAGACGGUUAUGUAAGUCGGGUGUGAAAGCCCCGGGCUCAACCUGGGAAUUGCAUUCGAGACUGCAUAGCUAGGAUGCGGAAGAGGGAAGUGGAAUUUCCGGUGUAGCGGUGAAACGCGUAGAUAUCGGAAGGAACAUCAGUGGCGAAAGCGACUUCCUGGUCCAGCAUCGACGUUCAGGCACGAAAGCGUGGGGAGCAAACAGG
rnacentral:rRNA from 1 species